rnacentral:lncRNA from 1 species
CUUUUCACCAUUUGAGUCAGGAGAAAUUAACAUGGAUGACAACUUGACUGUAUUAACCCUCUUUGUGAUCAAUCUGGCCAAAGGCAAUCUUUCGUUAAUGGUCCAUGAUCUUAGGCCUCUCUUCGAACUCUGUAGCUCGCCCUUUGUUCAACAACAUACUCUUUCUUUUUAAUCACUAGCUUUUUGAUGCCUUCUUUUUUUUAGCUCGACGACGUCGUUCCUCCUUCAAUUUUGUCACUANUGCUCUCACCCGCUGCUUAGCAUUAUGAACUUGUUUCUCGCAAUUUAGGUAAGGAGAAAUUAACUUGAAUGNCGACUUGAUUGUCUUAACCCCCUUCUUGAUCAAUUUGGCUAAGGGAAUCUUUCACUCAUAGUCCAUGAUCUCGAGCCUCUCUCCAGGCGAACAACGUUACCACAAGUGUCCCUAGCAUGAAGCAUUUCAGUAAAGGUUCAUUCUUCAUAUGAUCUGCAAUGUGUCAAGAGAUGCAGGCGUUGGUGACCUUCUCACAGGAUACCCAAAUUGUUUUUUUUUUCU